rnacentral:rRNA from 1 species
ACUCAAAUGAAUUGACGGGGGCCCGCACAAGCGGCGGAGCAUGUGGCUUAAUUCGAUGCAACGCGAAGAACCUUACCUAGGCUUGACAUGCUAGUUAAAGCGGGUGAAAGCCCGUGUCCUUUUGGGGCUAGCACAGGUGCUGCAUGGCUGUCGUCAGCUCGUGCCGUGAGGUGUUGGCUUAAGUGCCGCAACGAGCGCAACCCUUGCCCUUAGUUGCCAGCGGGUAAUGCCGGGGACUCUAAGGGGACUGCCGGGGACAACUCGGAGGAAGGUGGGGAUGACGUCAAGUCAGCAUGGCCCUUAUGUCUAGGGCUGCACACAUGCUACAUUCCGCGCUACAGAGGGCUGCGAUACCGCAAGGUGGAGCGAAUCCCAAAAAAGCGCGGUCGGUUCGGAUCGGGGUCUGCAACUCGACCCCGUGAAGUCGGAGUCGCUAGUAAUCGCAGAUCAGCAACGCUGCGGUGAAUACGUUCCCGGGCCUUGUACACACCGCCCGU